UCUUAGAUCUUCCAAAACGUCUGCUUUGAGCUUAUUAAGUUCUUCUGCCAGAUGCUUCAACAUAUUAAGAGAGCAGAAUAUCUGGGCUACAUGGUAACUACACUGGAAGAACCACCUGGCUGUUUCCAAAGCUCAUGCAUAAUUUUAUGUUUCCACCAGUAGAGGGUUCUGAUUUGUCCACAUCCUCAACAAGUCUUGGACCCCUCAUACUGGCCAUUCUGAUGGCUGCAAAGCAAUAUCUCCCAUGGUUUUGAUUGGCAUUUUGCUGUUCAUUAAAAUUUAAGCAUGUUUUUGUUUGAA